CCUACGGGGGGCUGCAGUGGGGAAUAUUGCGCAAUGGGCGAAAGCCUGACGCAGCGACGCCGCGUGAGGGAUGAAGGUCUUCGGAUCGUAAACCUCUUUUGCCGGGGAGCAAGGGCGGGGAGGUGUCCCGGCCCGGAGAGUACCCGGAGAAAAAGCAUCGGCUAACGCCUUGCCAGCAGCCGCGGUAAUACGGAGGAUGGGAGCGUUAUCCGGAUUUAGUGGGUUAAAAGGGUGCGUAGGGGGGCUUUUAAGUCAGCGGUAAAAAUUCGGGGCUCAACCCCGUCCGGCCGUUGAAACUGGGAGCCUUGAGUGGGCGAGAGGAAGGUGGAAUGCGUGGUGUAGCGGUGAAAUGCAUAGAUAUCACGCAGAACCCCGAUUGCGAAGGCAGCCUUCCGGCGCCCUACUGACGCUGAGGCACGAAAGUGCGGGGAUCGAACAGGAUUAGAUACCCUGGUAGUC
rnacentral:rRNA from 1 species